AUUCCAUGGUGUGGACACUCUCGAAUGUACUCCUGGAGACGUUCCCAUGCUUCAGGAAUAGUUUCGUCUGCUUGUGGUUGGAAGCUCAAAAUCUUGGCCCUUAGAGC
rnacentral:snoRNA from 1 species